AAGACUAUAGACCUGCGGAGUACCUGCGGAGGGAUCAUUCGUGAAGCAGGCGCUCUGUCGCCCUUCUCUACCCUUCAACCAUGUGGUCUUCUGCCAUUGCCUCGGGGGGUUUGAAGCGGCCUCGGCCGUUGGGGCCCCUCGCUGGGCCCCGCCCCCCCGCGUUGCCUUGAUAUAAAGUCUUGGAGUGAUAUUUGCGUCUGAUCAGUCCGGUGGACAUAAUGAAAAUAAAACUUUUAACAA
rnacentral:misc_RNA from 1 species